rnacentral:rRNA from 1 species
CGCGUAGGCGGGAUGGCAAGUCGGUCGUGAAAUCCCUCGGCUCAACUGAGGAGCGUCGAUCGAUACUGCCGUUCUUGAGGAUUGCAGAGGAGACUGGAAUUCCCGGUGUAGCGGUGAAAUGUGUAGAGAUCGGGAGGAACACCGGUGGCGAAGGCGGGUCUCUGGGCAAUUCCUGACGCUGAGGCGCGAAAGCGUGGGGAGCAAACGGGAUUAGAUACCCCGGUAGUCCACGCUGUAAACGAUGACGACUAGGUGUGGGGGGGUUCAGUCCCCUCCGUGCCGCAGCUAACGCAUUAAGUCGUCCGCCUGGGGAGUACGGCCGCAAGGUUGAA